UACGGAAGGUCCGGGCGUUAUCCGGAUUUAUUGGGUUUAAAGGGAGCGUAGGCCGGAGAUUAAGCGUGUUGUGAAAUGUAGACGCUCAACGUCUGCACUGCAGCGCGAACUGGUUUCCUUGAGUACGCACAAAGUGGGCGGAAUUCGUGGUGUAGCGGUGAAAUGCGUAGAUAUCGGGAGGAACAUCAGUGGCGAAGGCAGCUCACUGGAGCGCAACUGACGCUGAAGCUCGAAAGUGCGGGUAUCGAACAGG
rnacentral:rRNA from 1 species